UACGAAGGGGGCUAGCGUUGUUCGGAAUUACUGGGCGUAAAGGGCUCGUAGGCGGCCAACUAAGUCAGACGUGAAAUCCCCAGGCUUAACCUGGGAACUGCGUCUGAUACUGGAUGGCUUGAAUUCGGGAGAGGGAUGCAGAAUUCCAGGUGUAGCGGUGAAAUGCGUAGAUAUCUGGAGGAAUACCGGUGGCGAAGGCGGCAUCCUGGACCGACAUUGACGCUGAGGAGCGAAAGCUAGGGGAGCAAACGGG
rnacentral:rRNA from 1 species